rnacentral:tRNA from 1 species
GGAGAUAGCUCUGUGGUAGAGCACUUGCCUAGCAGGUGAGAUGCCUUGGGUUCAAUCCCCAGCACACCA